AGAGUUUGAUCCUGGCUCAGAUUGAACGCUGGCGGCAUGGCUAAAACAUGCAAGUCGAACGCGAAAGGGAGCAAUCCCAAGUAGAGUGGCGAAAGGGUGAGUAAUACGUUUCUACGUGCCUUGAGGUCGAGGAUAGCCAGGGGAAACUCUGGGUAAUACUCGAUGUGGUCGCAAGAUCAAAGAUUUAUCGCCUUAAGAGCGGGGAACGUCCUAUCAGGUAGUUGGUGAGGUAAUGGCUCACCAAGCCUAAGACGGGUAGCAGGUGUGAAAGCACGGCCUGCCACAUCGGGACUGAGACACUGCCCGGACUUCUACGGAAGGCUGCAGUAACGAAUCUUCCGCAAUGCGCGAAAGCGUGACGGAGCAAUGCCGCGUGCAGGAUGAAGCCCCUCGGGGUGUAAACUGCUGUCAGGGAUUAGGAACCAAAUGACCAUUCCCAAAGGAAGAGACGACUAACUCUGUGCCAGCAGUCGCGGUAAUACAGAGGUCUCGAGCGUUAGUCGGAAUCACUGGGCUUAAAGCGUACGUAGGCGGAUCUAUAGGCGUCGUGUGAAAUACCUCGGCUCAACCGAGGAACUGCACGGCGAACCACAGUUCUUGAGACAAGUAGGGGCGGUCGGAACGAUAGGUGGAGUGGUGAAAUGCGUUGAUAUCUAUCGGAACGCCGAAGGUGAAGACAGGCCGCUGGGCUUGUUCUGACGCUGAGGCACGAAAGCGUGGGGAUCAAACAGGAUUAGAUACCCUGGUAGUCC
rnacentral:rRNA from 1 species